GAUGAACGCUGGCGGCGUGCCUAAUACAUGCAAGUCGAGCGAACAGACGAGGAGCUUGCUCCUCUGACGUUAGCGGCGGACGGGUGAGUAACACGUGGAUAACCUACCUAUAAGACUGGGAUAACUUCGGGAAACCGGAGCUAAUACCGGAUAAUAUAUUGAACCGCAUGGUUCAAUAGUGAAAGACGGUUUUGCUGUCACUUAUAGAUGGAUCCGCGCCGCAUUAGCUAGUUGGUAAGGUAACGGCUUACCAAGGCAACGAUGCGUAGCCGACCUGAGAGGGUGAUCGGCCACACUGGAACUGAGACACGGUCCAGACUCCUACGGGAGGCAGCAGUAGGGAAUCUUCCGCAAUGGGCGAAAGCCUUACGGAGCAACGCCGCGUGAGUGAUGAAGGUCUUCGGAUCGUAAAACUCUUUUAUUAGGGAAGAACAAAUGUGUAAGUAACUAUGCACGUCUUGACGGUACCUAAUCAGAAAGCCACGGCUAACUACGUG
rnacentral:rRNA from 1 species